rnacentral:lncRNA from 1 species
GCCUUGGCUGUUUCUCCCCCUCCCGCUUGGGAGUUUGCAGUGUGGACGCACAGCGAGCACAGUAAGUUGUCCCCCAGCGAACUCGGGCCGGCGGAGUGGAGCCGCCCCCGCCGCGCUGGGCGCACCGCGGGCCCGGGGCAGCCAGUCAGCCAGUGUCUGCUGCUUUCGCGCUCCGGCAGAACCGGGCUUUGUGACCGGCCUCCUGGGGACCUCCGCCUCCCCCCCCCGCCCCGACGCGGGGCAGCUGGGGCUUCGCAGAGAUUAGAAUCGGCUCUCCGGGGCGCUUCCUUGGGCAGCCGGUCCUGCUCCCACCCCGUGCGUAAUCAGCAAGCAUUAAAAGGAAAACUAUAAUUCUCCAGGAAUCAGGGUUAGGAUCAAAGAGGGGAGAUGGGGGUAGAGAGGAUGUCCAAACUCCCUACGUCAUUUUAAAAAUGCGAGAGGGAGAGAGAGAUCCUGUUUCCUAGCUCAUCCCUGUCCUCCCAACUGUAAAGUAAAAAUGACAGGGAAAAGAGAAUUUCAAAGUGGAAUUUCCCCACGGAGUAUUGAGAAAGUAAGAAAGAUUUUAAUUAUCUAUUGAAGUGAGGCAGCCAGGAUUCAGGAAGAAAGGAAGAGAAGAGCAGAGGACAGACAAGGGCGGUCUGAACUUUGGGGUCCAGACAGAAAUCUUGUGACGAUGGUGGUUUUGAGUGGGUAUUGGAUAUACUGAGUUUUGCUGUUUAAGGAUCCACAGAACCCACACAGGAGGGCUUUGCUGGCCACAGUUCCGGUGACAGGAUUGUUCCUCCUCACAUACACAGCAUUCACUUGUGUUUAAAGCUCAAGCAGACACUUUCCCAAAAGAACACUAAGGAUACUAACACUUACAGAUUCAAUGAUAUAAAUGUGGACCAUGUUAUAUGAGGUGGAGAUUGUGGAGUGACGGCCGGACUGAAGGAGAAGUGUUUCCUUAAAGGAAACCCUGCACCUGCCUGUUUGAAAGGUGACCUCUGAUACCCUUUCCAAGCAAAUAAUGCAUCUGGAUGACGAUCAAAGUGUUCCCAGCACACCUCUUUCCACCUCUCUAUUCCUGCUCAGAUUUUGAAUGCGAGAAAAUAAGCCAUAUAAAGGGAGAGUUUUAAUUCCAUACUGGAUUGUUUCCCUUUAGAGAAAUCACUGCAAAGGAGAAAUAACUAAGUCUAGCUUGUCAUCUUUAAAGGGUUUUGGGCUCCAAGCUUCCAGAUUUCUUGAAUGUCAAUAAUAAGCUGGUGUUUUGUACAAAGACAGGAUCUGAGAUCUCAUUUUAUUACACAGCUGGCUGCCAGGGGACCACGGGUGGUGACUCCUAUCCUUUGUGGGCCUCCGUUCACUAAGCUGUAUACAGAGAAUAAUAUUGCAGAACUUCAUUAGGAGUUCAGAGGGAUUAAGUCAUUAACAGUUUCUAAUUUCUGCAUAUAUUAUAGCCAUCAUUUGUACCUUGAAAACUCAUUUGAGUGAUCUGGAGAAGAGAAGAAUCCUUUUCUAGAUGAACAGGCCUUGGACAUAGCUAGUUUUUCUAGCUAUGUUGGUGACUGCAUUAAGAUUUAUGCUUUCUUACUCAGAGGCGUCCUUCCAGACCGAGUUCUUUGGAACUUCGAACUGUUCUAUUUAACCCGAGUGUUACCACCUUCAGUAAUUUUCUUUGUUGUUAGCUCAGGGUGUCAGAGGAAAUCAGAUAGAUCCCAUCUGUUUCCAGCAGGGUCCUUUAACCUCUGUAAUAAUAUGGUAUCAGCAUACAUUCCUAGGGGUUUCUGAGUUACGUAGAGUUCUUUUUAAAGCAACAGUGAUGAUCUUGGCCCUUCUGGAGUUAUUUUCUCCCUAAGUCCACUGGCCAUUUCAGUAGAGAUGAUUUCUGGGAUUGUGGGAUACCCCUGUCACCCUGCUAAGGACUAACAGGCUAAGGCUACCUAAUCGUGGUCAUUCCUUGGCUUCUCAAGAACUCGGAGCCCAGGACGAUAUUUGAAACAUGUUGUAGCAAGAGGGCAAUGAAGGCCUUGGGGGAAAAAAAAAAGAAGAGGAAACAGAUGAGCUUCGUUUAGUUGGAUUAAACUCUGACCUGAAACCUGUCAUUUGCUCUUGCUUUUUUUUUUUUUUAAUUUUUUAAUUUUUUUAUUUAAAAAAAUUUUUUUUAACGUUUAUUAACUUUUGAGACAGAGAGAGACAGAGCAUGAACGGGGGAGGGUCAGAGAGAGGGAGACACAGAAUCUGAAACAGGCUCCAGGCUCUGAGCUGUCAGCACAGAGCCCGACGCGGGGCUCGAACUCACGGACCGUUAGAUCAUGACCUGAGCCGAAGUCGGCUGCUUAACCGACUGAGCCACCCAGGUGCCCCUGCUCUUUCUUAAAAACAAUCCUUAUGUAAUUCUUUCAGUUUCAUCAUUUAUUCACAACCCAUUUGCUUCCCCUGAUCAUUUCAUCAGCCUGGCCUGGCUCCCCUAUCUGGGCUCCCGGGGCUGCUCAGUGGAGAAGAUGCCCGGCCAGGGGUCCACACAGGCCCCUCUUGGUCUCCGGAAGCUUGCAGGGGGAACAGGUUUGCUUGUGUCGACAGCUCAGCAACUGGGACCUCUCCGCACACCCUGCUGUCACAGAUGGCUCAGGCUGAGGAAGGAGAUUGAGGUAGUUUGGUGUAGUGGGUUCUGGAACGAGUUUGUAUCCUCCCCUAACCAGCUACUUCAUGUCAGUAAGUAAAUGACCUGAUCUUGGCUGCCUCAGUUUCCUCAUUUGUAAUGGGGAUAAUGACACCAACACCUACCUCACAGCAUUAUCGUGAGGAAUCAACAAGUUUAGUUCCUGUAAAUUAAUGCCUAGCACGCGGUAAACACUCAUUAAAUUUAGCUUUCAACCUUGUUAGUCCUAACGUCUUCUCCCAGUUUGUUUUCCUCACUCUCCCAUUCUGUUCCUAUUCGCCAGGAUCCACGUGGGACCGUAUCUGCACUUAACCUCCACGGAACGGAGUUACACAAUCAGCUGCCGUGUGUGAACUGUGGCAUCCGUGUGGCAUAGGACCAGUGUCACUCAUGAAAGCCUGCUGUGUCCAGGAGAACGGAGACACUUUCUCUGUGGCUGCUUUCCUCGCUUUGCGGUUCACCGGGACCCUUUAAUUUCACUUUGCUGGAGAACCCAGCUUUCAAACUCACACCACUCUACAGUCAAAUUCGAAGUCUGUGAAAACACGACCAAGAGAACAUUGUUUGGCCUGAAGGUUUGAGGAUAUCACAGGAAGGCCUCUCAAGCCCUCUUCUGGCAUCGCGAAAGCAGAAGAAGGAACCUGUGAUCCCAAGGCUGGACACGGGGCAUAAAAUUCCUCCUCUUUCCUUCUUGCUCCUUCACCCUCCUCGUACACCUGCCAGUAAGAGGCAACAUGACAGACUAAAGCGUGACAAAAGAAAGCGAUAAGCUAAGCAAUAGAUUUAGCAAAUAAAAAUAUUGCUGGGGGCAUAAACCUGAAAAUGAUUUGUUGUUUAUCUGAAAUUCAGAUUUAACUGGGCCUCCUGCCUUUUAAGUUUAUUUAUUUAUUUUGAGAGAGAGAGAGAGAGGGAAAGAGAGGAUCCCAAGCAGGUUGACAGUGUGGAGCCCAGUGCGGGGCUUGAACUCACAGCACCAUGAGAUCACGACCUGAGCCAAAACCAAGAGGCGGACAUUUAACUGACUGCACCUCCCAGGCACCCUGGGCCGCCUGCCUUCUAUCUGCAACUCCAACACAACAUACCUUGGUAGCCUCACAGGUUUUUUUCAUGGCAUGUGUAAAAGAUAAACGAGCCUGAUAGAAAAUGUGAAAUGCGACAGUACGUUAACGCCUCGUUAGAUUUCUUUGGGAACAGAAGAGGCAGAAAAAGCUUGAGCAGACCCUGGAGGGAGCAAGAACAGCAUUUCCACAGCCAGGCGGCCCUGGCUCUUGGGUUUUCUCACAGUUAGAGGCUCCGUGGUUGGCGUUUCUAGCCCUUCCCCAUGCAACACUGCCCUGGGGGAGGGACGGGUGCCUGCCUCCGCCUCCGAGUCCCAUAGAUGAACCCCCGAGAGACUGGACUCAGCGCCACUUUCUAGAACUUCAGUUUGCAAACAGGUAAACUCAUGCUAGUGUCAAGGUCACGAUCAAGCCUAUUUCUUGUGUGUCUGAAGGGUGUCAAAGAGUUCAAGCCCAAAAGCUUUCACUACAGAGGAAAGGAAAUGAUGAUCAGGAAAAGUCUAUAGAGCAUUCCUUAGAACACAGGAGACGGGGUCUCUACCUCCACUGCAGAUAGAUGGCACAUGGCAAUAGCAGCCUUCGCUUCUGCCUUCGGCUUCAUUCAUUCUUAACAUUACAAAUCACUAAGCUCUUGAUUAGAGACCAACUGGGGAGGUUUUCUCUAAUAAGUGGGUUCAUUUUUGCACAUUCAGAUUUCCCCCUGCAGCCUGCGUUUUCUACCGUUUUCCAUGUACACUAUCAAAGGCAGAUUGUAUGUCUUAUAAAAUAAUUGAGGUCUGAGAUGAGAAACGGGUGUGUUGGCAGGCCUGAGAGCAGAUCAAAGCUGAGCUAGGAAAGGGCUUUACAGAGAGGGCUCCGUCAGUGGAGAAGCCAA